rnacentral:ncRNA from 1 species
CACCACUAGGGGUGCCCGGUCGUUCCUGAACGAUCCCGGGCUGAGAUCACACCCUCCGAACCUGAACCGGGUCAUGCCGGCGAAGGGAAGUGU